AUGAACGCUGGCGGCGUGCCUAAUACAUGCAAGUCGAGCGAACAGAUGAGGAGCUUGCUCCUCUGACGUUAGCGGCGGCCGGGUGAGUAACACGUGGAUAACCUACCUAUAAGACUGGGAUAACUUCGGGAAACCGGAGCUAAUACCGGAUAAUAUAUUGAACCGCAUGGUUCAAUAGUGAAAGACGGUUUUGCUGUCACUUAUAGAUGGAUCCGCGCCGCAUUAGCUAGUUGGUAAGGUAACGGCUUACCAAGGCAACGAUGCGUAGCCGACCUGAGAGGGUGAUCGGCCACACUGGAACUGAGACACGGUCCAGACUCCUACGGGAGGCAGCAGUAGGGAAUCUUCCGCAAUGGGCGAAAGCUUGACGGAGCAACGCCGCGUGAGUGAUGAAGGUCUUCGGAUCGUAAAACUCUGUUAUUAGGGAAGAACAAAUGUGUAAGUAACUAUGCACGUCUUGACGGUACCUAAUCAGAAAGCCACGGCUAACUACGUG
rnacentral:rRNA from 1 species